rnacentral:rRNA from 1 species
ACUGAACGGGGAUGAGCCCAGCGCGUAAGCUCGUGUCCCCAAACCGGGCAGGAGCGGUGUCGCGUUGCGGAGGGUCCAGCACGCCGUGCCAUACCGCCUAAGUCAAGCUUGAACGCGGCCACUACCCAUGGAGGGUGACAGGCCCGUAUGGCGGCGCCCGCGAGGGUAGAGAUGGGGCGGUCGGAAAGGACCUCUCUCCGUAGAGUCGGGUUGCUUGAAAGUGCAGCCCAAAGUAGGUGGUAAACUCCAUCUAAGGCUAAAUAUGACCACGAGACCGAUAGCGAACAAGUACCGUGAGGGAAAGUUGAAAAGAACUUUGAAGAGAGAGUUCAAGAGUACGUGAAACCGUCAAGAGCCAAACGGGUGGAGGCUCGAAGGUCGAAUUGAGGGGAUUCAGCUCGUCGGCGUUGGGCCGGUUGGAGAUGUCACGGAAUGACCCUAGCAGUAUUGGGCGUCCCUCCAGCCGCGCUUGCGUGGCGGGCGUAUUUCGCCUCUUAGUAGGUCGCCGCGACCCGUUGCGGGGAGGUCUAAGGCCCGGAUGGAUUGGUACCCCGCCGCCCGUUAUCCCUCUCCGGGGGGGUCUUGUGGCGACUGGGGGAAACCUCCGGUGUUUCCUGGCUGCCCUGCGACGGUCGAUGAGACGAGCCUCCUCGGCUUGCCGGCCGAGGAGUCUCUCGCGGCGUACAAAAGGUCCAACAUGUGUGCGAGUCAUUGGGCGCACUAAACCCAAAGGCGCAAUGAAAGUGAGAUGGCCUGGCUUGAUGAGGUUUGGGGGUUUGGGGGUCUUCUUGUUUCUUCUCGUCGUCGUCCUCCUCUAGGCUGCAUAGGCCGAAAGGGGCGACGGUGGGGGUGACGGGUUGGUUUCUCUCCCUCUCUCCGACUCUCGCCGCUCGGCCAGGGCCGAUCCCCGACCGGCUGCCGUCUCGGGGUUCCUCGGUCGUCCUUCUCGCGUGUCGGGCAAGCAGGGUGAGUCCCUUUCCUCUGCCUCUGGCCGCGCGCGGGGUUUACGGGGGCGGUGGGUGGUUUCCCUCGGGGCGGCGAAGGUGUUUUUAUCGUGUGGAAACCUGCGUAACGGCAGGGGGGCGCAGGCCCGGGACUUGCCAUAGACGCCGCACGUUCUCCUAGGAUUAGCAGGUUCCCCCUCUCUUUGUUGGGGGGGUGGUUCCUGUUGCCGAAAGGGAGCGAGCGAUGAGUCGGCAAGUACCAUGAGCAGGCAUGUUGGGACCCGAAAGAUGGUGAACUAUGCCUGGCCAGGAUGAAGCCAGAGGAAACUCUGGUGGAGGUCUGUAGCGAUUCUGACGUGCAAAUCGAUCGUCAGAGCUGGGUAUAGGGGCGAAAGACUAAUCGAACCAUCUAGUAGCUGGUUCCCUCCGAAGUUUCCCUCAGGAUAGCUGGAACUCGCCACCAGGUGAAUUUCAUCCGGUAAAGCGAAUGAUUAGAGGUCUUGGGGACGAAACGUCCUCAACCUAUUCUCAAACUUUAAAUGGGUGAGAUGCCGAGCUUGCUUAGAAGAUGAAGCCUCGGCGACGAAUCGGAGUUCCUAGUGGGCCACUUUUGGUAAGCAGAACUGGCGCUGUGGGAUGAACCAAACGUCGAGUUAAGGGGCCUAAAGGAAUGCUCAUUCAGAUCCCAUCGAAAGGUGUUGGUUGCUAUAGACAGCAGGACGGUGGCCAUGGAAGUUGGAAUCCGCUAAGGAGUGUGUAACAACUCACCUGCCGAAGCAACUAGCCCUUAAAAUGGUAUGGCGCUAAAGCAUUCUCCCGAUACUCGACCGCCGGGGCAUUACCGACUUUGGCGGGGGGGUGGGUUGGUCAUCGUUUGAUGGCGAGCCGCCUUCUUAGCUCGGGUCUCGAAGCCCCGGCGAGUAGGAGGGUCGCGGUGGUGAGCGCUGAAGGGUUCGGCGUGAGCCGGCCUGGAGCCUCCACCGGUGCAGAUCUUGGUGGUAGUAGCAAAUAAUCGAGAGAGACUUCCUUGAAGGCCGAAGUGGAGAAGGGUUCCAUGUGAACAUCAGUUGGACAUGGGUUAGUCGCUCCUAAGCCCAAGGCGAAAGCCUGAUCCCACGUCAGAGGCAACGGCCAAACGAAGGAAGGAGAUAUGUGGAAGAACGAGGAGCGAACAAAACGCGUGUCGUUCGGUGGGUGCGCUUGCAUUUGAGGGACGGACAGACAGACAGACAGACAGACAGAUGAACAGGGCGGGGGUGUGUGUGUGUGUGUUUGUGUUGUGUGUGACACGACACGACACGACACGACANUACAGACACUUUGACUUUAGUUGCCAGUGGGGAUUAGUGGCGAAAGGGAAUACGGUUCUUAUUCCGUAACCAGGACCCGGAUACCAAGCAGGUGUAAGCGCCCUUGCCCCCGGGCUUGGGAAUGCUGCCCUGUGCAGGAGCCCGGUAACGGGAACCAGCUCGCGUUCGUCGGCGGUGGUCCGGGAAAGAGUUUUCUUUUCUGUUUAAGGCGCCGUGACCCUGGAAGCCAUUCGCAGAGAGAAAGGGUGUUAGUAAGACGGUUAGCCGUAGAGCGCCGCGGUUCUUGCGGCGUCCCGCGCGCCACUGCCGGCCCGUGAAAGAUGCGAGGGAGGUAACUGGGGCGAAGCUGACUCCCCAAAGUCAGCGACGCCUACUUUCGGGCCAGUGCGUACCCAUAUCCGCAGCCGGUCUCCGAGGUAAGAAGCCUCUGGUCGAUAGAUUAAUGUAGG